GCAGUGGGUACGGGCAAACUAGAGUGCGGUAGGGGAGAUUGGAAUUCCUGGUGUAGCGGUGGAAUGCGCAGAUAUCAGGAGGAACACCAAUGGCGAAGGCAGAUCUCUGGGCCGUAACUGACGCUGAGGAGCGAAAGCGUGGGGAGCGAACAGGAUUAGAUACCCUGGUAGUCCACGCCGUAAACGGUGGGAACUAGAUGUGGGGUCCGUUCCACGGAUUCCGUGUCGCAGCUAACGCAUUAAGUUCCCCGCCUGGGGAGUACGGCCGCAAGGCUAAAACUCAAAGGAAUUGACGGGGGCCCGCACAAGCGGCGGAGCAUGCGGAUUAAUUCGAUGCAACGCGAAGAACCUUACCAAGGCUUGACAUAUAGAGGAAAAGUGUAGAAAUACACUCCCCGCAAGGUCUCUAUACAGGUGGUGCAUGGUUGUCGUCAGCUCGUGUCGUGAGAUGUUGGGUUAAGUCCCGCAACGAGCGCAACCCUCGUCCUAUGUUGCCAGCACGUAAUGGUGGGAACUCAUGGGAUACUGCCGGGGUCAACUCGGAGGAAGGUGGGGAUGACGUCAAAUCAUCAUGCCCCUUAUGUCUUGGGCUUCACGCAUGCUACAAUGGCCGGUACAGAGGGCAGCAAUACCGCAAGGUGGAGCGAAUCCCAAAAAGCCGGUCUCAGUUCGGAUUGAGGUCUGCAACUCGACCUCAUGAAGUUGGAGUCGCUAGUAAUCGUGGAUCAGCAACGCCACGGUGAAUACGUUCCCGGGGCCUUGUACACA
rnacentral:rRNA from 1 species